rnacentral:lncRNA from 10 species
UUUGUUUUUAUGAGAUGGAAUCUCGCCCUGUCGCCCAGGCUGGAGUGCAAUGGCGCUAUCUCGGCUCACUGCAACCUCCUGCAACUUCUGCCUCCCAGGUUCAAAGGAUUUUCCUGCCUCAGCCUCCCGAGUAGCUGGGACUUACAGGCAUGUACCACCAUGCCCAGCUAAUUUUUGUAUUUUUAGUAGAGACAGUGUUUCACCAUGUUGGCCAGGCUGGUCUCGAAUUCCUGACCUCAGGUGAUCCACCCGCCUCGGCCUCUCAAAGUGCUGAGAUUACAGGCAUGAGCCACUGCACCCGGCCUAAUUUUUGUAUUUUUAGUAGAGACAGGGUUUAGCCAUGUUGGCCAGGCCGGUCUUGAACUCCUGACCUCAAGAGAUCCGCCCACCUCAGCCUCCCAAAGUGCUGGGAUUACAGGGGUGAGCCACCAUGCCUGGCCUGAUCUUAUCUUACUUAUUAAUUUGUUGACAUGGUAAUUGUCCCUGUCACCUCUCACCCUCAGGAUGAAGGCUUCCUGAGGGCAAGGACUUUGUCUUUUUCAUAUCUGUAUCCCCAGAUCCUAGAACAAUGCCUGGCACAUAGAAGGCACUCAAUAAAUAGGUAUAAUUGAAUUAAACACAGAGAUGAUUGGCUGGUCAGUAAAGGGCCUUUAUCGCUGCCCUUUUUUUUUUUUUUUUUUUUUUUUGAGACAAGGUCUUGCUUUGUCACCCAAGCUGGAGUGCGGUGAUGCGAACAUGGCACGUUGCAGCCUCGACCUCCCAGGGUGAAGCUAUCCUCUUGCCUCAGCCUCCCGAGGAACUGGGACUAUAGGCGCAUGCCACUACACCUGGGUAAUUUUGUAUUUUUUGUAGAGACAGGGUUUCAUUAUGCUGCCCAGGCUGGUCUCAAACUCCUGAGCUCAAGUGAUCUGCCCACCUCGGCCUCCCAAAGUGCUGGGAUUACAGGUGCAAGCCACCGUGCCCGGCCCUGACUGCCCUUUUUAUCCUUCUUGCUGCAUUCUCAUCCCCUGCCAAAGCCCCAGGCAUUGCCCAGCCUGCAGCAGCCCCCAACCACAGCUGUUGCAAACCCACCACCAUCGCCACAACCACCACCACCUGAGAUCCCUCAGGAACUGUGAGUGGGCUAACACACUCAGGUCUAGCACAUGACCUUCAAGCCCCAGUUCCCAACAGAAUUGACCCCUGCUCUGGACCCCUUUCCAAGCAGCCCCAUCCCCUUAUAAACCAUGCUUGGAGACCACUGCUCCUAUAAGCACACACUUCCUCAGAGAGCCUCAAUACAAAUGCACCACUAUUUACUGAGGGUUCCCCACACGUCAGGCACCCUGCUAGGGGAGUCUCCAAUGUCAUGGACAUGCCAAAUGCCAGUGCUCUUCGCCCUCUGAGUCUCCCGGAGUCCCUGUGCCUCCUGCAGUCAGGGUGACAGUGUCAGUCCUGGGCAAGUUG